rnacentral:lncRNA from 1 species
GUGGAGCUUGCAGUGAGCUGAGAUUGCAGCCUGGGAGACAGAGCGAGACUCCAUCUCAAAAAGAAAAAAAAAAGAACUGCUAGAGCGUAAAAGAGUGAGGCAGAGGAAGAUUUGAUACACACAGAAGAGGAGAGAGCAAUGUGAAGAUGGUGGCAGAGAUGGGACUGAUGAAGCCACCAGAAGCUGGAAGACAUAAGGAUCCGAUUCUCCCCUGGAGCAUCUGGAAGAAGCAAGGUCCUGUCAACAUUGUGCUUUUAGUCAUUGAAAUGAAUAUUGAACAGAAUCCUGUCCCCUAGCACUAGUAGAGAAUAAAGUUAUGUUGUUUUAAGCCACCAAUUUAUGAUGAUUUCUUAUGGCAGCCACGGGAUACUAAUUUACCUUCUCAGAUGAU